CCUACGGGAGGCAGCAGUGAGGAAUAUUGGUCAAUGGGCGUAAGCCUGAACCAGCCAAGUCGCGUGAGGGAUGAAGGUUCUAUGGAUCGUAAACCUCUUUUAUAAGGGCAUAAAGUGUGGGACGUGUCCUAUUUUGUAUGUACCUUAUGAAUAAGGAUCGGCUAACUCCGUGCCAGCAGCCGCGGUAAUACGGAGGAUCCGAGCGUUAUCCGGCUUUAUUGGGUUUAAAGGGUGCGUAGGCGGCCUUUUAAGUCAGCGGUGAAAGUCUGGGGCUCAACCCUAGAAUUGCCGUUGAAACUGGGGGGCUUGAGUGUGUUUGAGGCAGGCGGAAUGCGUGGUGUAGCGGUGAAAUGCGUAGAUAUCAGGCAGAACGCCGAUUGCGAAGGCAGCCUGCCAGGCCAUGACUGACGCUGAUGCACGAAAGCGUGGGGAUCAAACAGGAUUAGAUACCCCUGUAGUC
rnacentral:rRNA from 1 species